rnacentral:rRNA from 1 species
AGCCACCUUCGGGUGGUGGACAGUGGCAGACGGGUGAGUAACGCGUGGGAACGUGCCUUUCGGUUCGGGAUAACCCAGGGAAACUUGGGCUAAUACCGGAUACGCCCUCCGGGGGAAAGAUUCAUUGCCGAAAGAUCGGCCCGCGUCGGAUUAGCUAGUUGGUGGGGUAAAAGCCUACCAAGGCGACGAUCCGUAGCUGGUCUGAGAGGAUGACCAGCCACACUGGGACUGAGACACGGCCCAGACUCCUACGGGAGGCAGCAGUGGGGAAUAUUGGACAAUGGGUGCAAGCCUGAUCCAGCCAUGCCGCGUGGGUGAAGAAGGCCCUAGGG